rnacentral:rRNA from 1 species
GUACGCUGGCGGCACGCCUAACACAUGCAAGUCGAACGAAGUAGCAAUACUUAGUGGCAGACGGGUGAGUAACAUGUGGGUAUCUGCCCUUUGGCCUGGAAUAACACGAGGAAACUUGUGCUAAUACCGGAUAAGUCUUUACGGAGAAAGCUUUAUGCACCAUUGGAUGAGCCCGCACUUGAUUAGUUUGUUGGUGGGGUAAUGGCCUACCAAGACUGUGAUCAAUAGCUGAUUUGAGAGGAUGAUCAGCCACAUUGGGACUGAGACACGGCCCAAACUCCUACGGGAGGCAGCAGUGGGGAAUCUUGCACAAUGGAGGAAACUCUGAUGCAGCGAUGCCGCGUGAGUGAAGAAGGCCUUUGGGUUGUAAAGCUCUUUCGUCGGGGAAGAAAAUGACUGUACCCGAAUAAG